GACAGAGGGUGCGAGCGUUAAUCGGAAUUACUGGGCGUAAAGGGCGCGUAGGCGGAUAUUUAAGUCGGAUGUGAAAUCCCUGGGCUCAACCUGGGAAUGGCAUUCGAAACUGGAUAACUAGAGUACAGUAGAGGGAAGUGGAAUUUCCGGUGUAGCGGUGAAAUGCGUAGAUAUCGGAAGGAACACCAGAGGCGAAGGCGACUUUCUGGACUGAUACUGACGCUGAGGCGCGAAAGCGUGGGGAGCAAACAGG
rnacentral:rRNA from 1 species